UGCAAAGGUGAUUGAUGUCAGCACAACAAGAGCAAAAACACCAGUGACCCCUAGUGGCAGCUACGACAACAAAUUGGUGCUACCAAUUUUCUUUUUGGAGCUAUGGAUUUCUUUUGUGGUGCUACAAAUUUCUUUUCUGGAGCAACACAUUUUUUUUUGUGGUUCUAUGAUUUUUUUUGCGCUACUACAACUUACUUUUGUACCAAAUUGACCUCUAUUGGUUUUUAUGCUUCAGACAGGAAACCCUGGAAUAAAGGAAGAUAUGGGGAGAAAUUUGUCUCAAAACUAUUUACACAAAUAUAUCUGUGAUUAACACGUUUUUCAGAUCCACAAAUUGGUGCUGCUACAAAAAAGGACAAACUCCGACUGCAACGGACAAUCAAAACUGCUGAAAGGAUUGUCGGUACCCCCAUACCCACCAUUGAGGACUUGCACGCUGCCAGAACUAAGACAAGGGCAUGCAAAAUCCUCUCGGACCCUCCACAUCCUGGUCACCAGCUCUUCCAGCUCCUUCCCUCAGGACUGAAGAUAGUCGUCUACGAUGGUGCAGCGUUAUUAUUUGGAAAUUGACUGGAGGUUGUCAGAUCACAGAGAGUCACAAGCCCUCUCUGCGAUGGUGGGAGUUCUUUUUGCCCCUUCCGCCUCUUUCCAUCAAAGGUUUUUCUUAAAACAAAGAGCCAGCGGUUUUGGGGGUCAGAACAGCGCACACACGCUCAGCUAGAAAAGAAGUGGUCAGACAUUAAGGGGGAUGUGAAGCGGAGGACAGCUGCCCACCGCCAAAGUGUGGCCAAAACAGGCGGAAGAACCGGCGCAGAGGGCUUCCCCCGUUCGAGAAGAGAAUCGCUGCAAUCAUGGGUGACGCUACUCUCACGUGGCUGACUCUGAUUACCCCCA